rnacentral:lncRNA from 10 species
AACUUAGGUCACCCACGUUAACUUAGGACGUUUCUGUUGACUAACUUUGGGCGUUCUAUUUAUUAAAAUUUGAAAGUCAUAAAUGCUGGGCUUAAAAGAAAAGAAUCUCUCAGAACCUGAAAUGAAAAUUUAGCAUUAUAUGACAGUUUUGAGAAAAAUGAUUCAGAGUUCUUUAAAAAUUAAACUUCCCAAAUGAUUCUAGAUUGAAUUAUAUUCUGAAUACCUAAUAUCUGCAGAUUACUGUUUUAGAUGCUAUAGAGACAAAAAGUAGGUAUAUUAGCCUUCUAAUCCUUAAAGAAUCUGUAGUCCAAUUGGGGAAGUAAGCACAAGGCAGGUGAAAAAGAGAAAUAAUAAAACAAAGCAGCAUACAAUAAAUUUCCAAAUGACUAAUGCCAAUAAUCAGAGAUAUGUGUGCAAUUAGAUAACAAUAACUGAGUUAGAGCCAUCUAGAAAGAAAUCGUACUUGAUGUGAGUCUUGCAGAAGGGAAUAAUUUGGAUAAAACAGGAGAAUAAUUGGUGUAUAAAGGAGAAAGAAGAGUGGAGCAAAAACAUAGGUGUAGAUAAGCUUCAGAGAAAUUUAGGAAGCAGGGAUCAGACUCCCCCGGCUGUAGCAGAGGAACCCUGGGAGGACAACGAGGACUUGGAGGGAAUGAAGGUUGAAGUGAGACAAACAAGAACAUGAAUGCAAAGCCAUGGAGUUCAGACCUCCUCCCACAGGUAACGAUGAGCCACUGGAUAUUUUCUCUUAGCUGAGUCAUGUGAUGAACCUGGAGGCUGCAUGAAGGAAAAAGGCAAGGAGUCAUAGUUAGAACUAGGUAUGUUGAGAGAGAUGUAAGAACUUCAUCAGGCUAACAACUUGACAUUUCUUCAAAUAUAUAUAUUCUUUAAAUAGAAUGUUCAAUAUUUCUUUAGAAGGAUUAGAAGAAACUAGCUUUAUUUUAUUUUAUUUUAUUUUAUUUUAUUUUAUUUUAUUUUAUUUUAUUUUAUUUUUGGAGACAGAGUGUCGCUCUGUCACCCAGGCUGGAGUGCAGUGGAGCAAUCUCAGCUCACUGCAACCUCUGCCUCCCAGGUUCAAGUGAUUCUUCUGCCUCAGCCUCCCUAGUAGCUGGGACUACAGGUGCGUGCCACCACGCCCAGCUAAUUUUUGUAUUUUUAGUAGAGACAGAGUUUCACCAUAUUGGCCAGGCUGGUCUUGAACUCUUGACCUUGUGAUCUGCCUGCCUCGGCCCCCCAAAGUUCUGAGAUUACAGGCGUGAGCCACCACGUCCAGCCUGGGAGAAACUAACUUUCUAUUAGUGUAGAUUAUAUUCCACUUUAUAUUAAAAACAGAUUUAUUGUGUUGACUUAGCCUUGCGUAGAAGUUUUUGCUUGAAUUUUCAAAGGCUUUGUCGUUUUUUCAGAAUCAAUUAUAAAAUUCUAUCAAUAUGAAUAUAUGAACAUAUGGAUUUCCAAGUGUACGAUCCCUAGCAUGAAUAGUAUAUAGCAUUUUCACUCUUUUGGAAUUUUCUGGUUUUCAGGUUGUUUCCUACUUUUCAAAAUUCAUAUUUUCCUUCUAUUUUCCUCUGUGAUUUCUUGUAACAUUUGGCUACUUGUCAUAGAUUUGAGA